CGCCUUUUGACUUAUAAAUAUAAAAGGUCCUGCCUGCCCAGUGAAAUUUAUUCAACGGCCGCGGUAUUAUGACCGUGCAAAGGUAGCGUAAUCACUUGUCCUUUAAAUGAAGACCAGUAUGAACGGCAAGACGAAAGCCUAACUGUCUCUCCCCAUUAGUUAAUGAAAUUGAUUUUUCCGUGCAGAAGCGGAAAUAAUGUUAUAAGACGAGAAGACCCUGUGGAGCUUUAAGUAAAAACUAGUUAUUUAAUAUAAUAUAAUUAAAGCUUUAGGUUGGGGCGACCGUGAGGUAAAACAAAUCCCUCAAGAUAAGAUAUUAGAAGGACACUUCAAAAGACAAAAUACUGAUAUAAUUGACCCAAAAAUUGAUCAACGAACCAAGUUACCCCAGGGAUAACAGCGCAAUCCACUCACAGAGUCCUUAUCGACGAGUGGGUUUACGACCUCGAUGUUGGAUCAGGACCCCCAAAUAAUGUAACAAUUAUUAAAGGUUCGUUUGUUCAACGAUUAAAGUCCU
rnacentral:rRNA from 1 species